GUAACUGGUGGAAAUUAUAACUGGAAUGCAACCAGCAAAAAUGGAUUCCACAACUCGUGGACUUGCAACUUCCCAUCCGCUGGGGCACAGACAAAACUUACUUUGGCCCAUCUUUUCAGCAUAACUUUGGGAUUUUGCGAAGAAGGCAAGGAUUGAGCGUUCUGAUGGAGGUACACCAUGCUUUGGGAGAGUUAGCUGUCCGAAUGGGAGUUUUACUUCAGGUAGUGAUACAUCUCUUUCCGGAAGAAAACCUUCUGAGGUGUUGGCAUUGCAGAGAACUCUAAUGAAGUUUUUGAAGAGUUCGGGCCUACCAAUAGAUAUAUUUGGUCCCUGAAAUAUGCAAAUGUAACAUUACAAACAAAUUUAAUCAUAGUGCAACCAAAAUGCUUUUGGGGCUGUAAGGUCCGCUUAAUUGAAAUGAUAACAAGAACUAACCGGAAAUCUCACCCAAUCAUGACAAGAAACCAUGAAAUGGUCAGCACCAGCAGAUCUAUUCCAGAAUGGGUACCUACUCGAUAUGACUCGUAUAUAAUCAGUUACGAACAAAUUGAGGCGUUCCUGUGGUAAGGAUGGUUCGGGUUUAAACACAAAUCGACGAAGCCGAGCCACACUAAAUGGGAGGAAGAAAACAUGGGCUUGUUCAGGAUGUUGAGCUGAGAAUUGGCUUGCCCCACUCUCCAUCUCAUCAAUAAACUGUCCUUCUGUUGAGUAUAUGUUGUUCAAUGGUCCUUCAUGAACUAGUGGUAGCUCUCCUUCCUUGUAAGUCCAUACCUUGAACCGUUUCUCCAUUUCGAUGUGGCUCCUAAAAGAAUUCAGCAAACGAAUAACAAAAUAGUUAUAUUGAAUUCCUUCCAAAAUAAUGUUUGGCGCGUACAACGAUCAAUGUGGAUGACCAAUGCUGCAUGGAUGGACUAGUGUAUUUGGCAAGUGGAUAAUUCAAAUGUGGUUGAAGGACCAUGGAAUAAACUGAACCAGAAUAUGAUCCUAAAGCCUGCAUUGGAGACUAUAUGAAGCCACAUUUGUCUAACUUUGGAAUUCCCAUAGUCUUGAAUGGUGUAUCAGAAACAAUGUAUCUCAUUUAUUAGUGUCAGUUGGGACAGUCUUGUGCAGUUGUGCAUUUUGAAUGGUACCUGAAAAUGAAUUAACACUAACAACAAUAAAAGGAGGUUAGGGUGAAGUCUUAACUGAUAAAAGGCAUCAGGGUUUCUGUAAAUUGAUCUUUUGGAGAUGAAUUUGAAGUCUUCCUUCCCA